rnacentral:rRNA from 1 species
CGCAAUCGCCCUUCGGGGCGCACCAGGCGCGAAACCUCUGCAAUAGGCGAAAGCCUGACAGGGUUACUCUGAGUGAUUCCCGCUAAGGGAAUCUUUUGGCACCUCUAAAAAUGGUGCAGAAUAAGGGGUGGGCAAGCCUGGUGUCAACCGCCGCGGUAAUACCAGCACCCCGAGUGGUCGGGACGAUUAUUGGGCCUAAAGCAUCCGUAGCCGGCCACGCAAGUCCUCCGUUAAAUCCACCCGCUCAACGGUUGGGCUGCGGAGGAUACUACGUGGCUAGGAGGCGGGAGAGGCAAGCGGUACUCAAUGGGUAGGGGUAAAAUCCUUUGAUCCAUUGAAGACCACCAGUGGCGAAGGCGGCUUGCCAGAACGCGCUCGACGGUGAGGGAUGAAAGCUGGGGGAGCAAACCGGAUUAGAUACCCGGGUAGUCCCAGCUGUAAACGAUGCACACUCGGUGCAUGGGAUGGCCUCGAGCCAUCCCAGUGCCGCAUGGAAGCAGUUAAGUCUGCCGCCUGGGGAGUACGGUCGCAAGACUGAAACUUAAAGGAAUUGGCGGGGGAGC